rnacentral:lncRNA from 1 species
AUGAGGUCAGGGCCAUUCCUUUAUUCCCUUUCUUUUCUCAGGAUAUGUAGAAAAAAUAACAAUUCAUUAUUCAUUUGGAGGAACAGAAUGUUCAAAUUCUCAAGGACAGUAAAGAAAAAAAUGAGAAGAAGAAUCCCAAGUAUUCCUCUGAGGGAGUCAUCCCAUGUGACAAAUAGUAUUUUUUUAGAGAAGAAAAAAAAUCAGCACAACUAAUCAAUACAAGGUAAAAGUCCAAAAAUGUGUGCAGUGUAUAAUGUCUGUGGUUUUUCCAUCUUUAUGUUUUCUCAUGCCAUUUUAUUCAAGUUCUGCUUGAUCUUUGUAAAAUUUGUUGCAUUUACUUUUGAUUUUUUGAUGUUUUUCUUUCCAUUUACAUGUUAUGGUUACUAUGUAUACUGUUUUCUUGGUUCUGCUUACUUCAUUCUUCAUCAGUUCAUAUAGAACUUUCCAUGUUUCUCUGUGUUCUUUACAUACAUCACUAUGUAUAUAAUUUUACAUUUACAUUUACAAAAACUUUAUAUAUAAAUUAAAAUCAAUAUAUAAUAAUUUCAAAUAUAUUUUAUGAUUUAUUAAUAAAAUUUCCAACCCAAGAAGGAAAAAUAUCGAG